ACCAACGCCAAUGCUCAGAUGAUUUUGCAACUCUUGCAAGAACGCAUCCAAGGGCAAGGCAAUCAAGGAAAUCAAGUCCAAGGCAACAAUCAGCCUCACUUCGCUACCCUCAACCAGUUCCUCGCAAGUCAUCCCAAGUCUUUCAGCUACUGUGCCGAGGCCACAGACGCCGAUGAUUUGCUCGUGGACAUCAACAAGCAUUUUGAAUGUAGCAAUGUCAGGCCUGAGGACUUUGUCAAGUUUGCUUCUUUUCAACUCAAGGAUCAAGCUGCCGAGUGGUAUCAACAAUACAAAGAUUCCACAGGAGGUCGUGUGAUUACCUGGGAUGAUUUCCGCCGAGACUUCAAAGCUCACCACAUUCCACAAAGUGUUGUUGAGAGCAAGCGUGAGGAGUUCCGCAAUCUCAAGCAAGGCAUCAUGUCCGUGUAUCAAUACAAUACUCAG
rnacentral:rRNA from 1 species